GGGCUGUGGCAACCGCCUGAAAGUUGGAGGCAAACGGGAGCCAGCAGGCUGCCAAUCAGCACUUCUCCUCUGAGUGCCCUGCCAGGCAGAUUGAAAGCCGUAAACAUUUUAGCACUUAGAACGAGGUUCAGCUCGCCAGAUGAAGUUUUCCCCACUUCUUCCUCCUAGGAGAAAAUAAAGUGAUAAGUGUUUUGCACGGCAGUCGGCUCCACUUCUGCCUCAGUGCGGGCAGCGAGGGGGAAGAGGUGGGAUCAAGAGCACUGUAAACACCAUCAGAUACAGGUGGGAAGAGUUUCUGCAACACACAGGGGGAAAGGCUGAUGACUUUCCUGGAAAACAUAUCUAUAUGUUCCUGUCAGACACCUCCUUAGCACCGUUUGGUCUGCCUGCGAGAGGUCAGAGUCGUUUUCUUUGAAUCUCAGGUCACUGGGUCACAAUGAUUGUGGGGCUCGUUGUUGAUUCAAAGCACUGAGUUAUGGAACUCAACGGAUGGGAUGAAUCUAACAAGGCAACCUAUGGUCAAGAUCCUCCAUACCUGCCCAUUGACCAUGCUGGCUGAAGCUGAUGAAAGUUGGAGUCCAGCAACAACUGAAGGGCCAGAGGCUCCUCAUGUACACUGACUGGAAGCAGCUUUGCAGGCUUUCAUAUAUGGAGAUGCUGGCCCUUGAACUUCAUGCAGACCAGGACUGCAUCCAAUUUGUAUGUUAUUCUGAUGAAAUGGUUUAAGCAAGAGAAAAUGAGGAGUUUGAAAAAUAAAGGAACGUUCCAGAGAAGAAAUGAAGUGCUAUCACUGAAAUCUUUAUUUAUGUGAAAAGAAAGGGCUAAAACAUUACCUCAGAAUUCAAGAUUACAACAUCAGUGGGACAUAAUGUAAAUCCAUUCUAGUGGCUAAACAUCAGAAGCCAUAAUCCUUUUUCAAAGACCUUUUGUUAUUUUAAUGUCUGACAAAUUAUGCUUUUUAAAAAAAAUAAAAAGGAGAGAGAGAGAAAGUAGAAAAACACUUACAUUUAAGAGGUUUCUUUUACUUCAGCAAAAGUAGUUUCCCUGUUUAAAAAGUUUUAAUUUUCCACAACCAAUAGUAUAUCUACCAGGCUGGCUAAGUAUUAACACAAGAGCAGCAUAGUUAUGUAGUUUCAAUAGGUUUCCGUACAAAGUUAACCACCAAAGAUUUUUUUGCAUCAAGUUGUUAUGGCAACUCCACUUCUAAAAAGCACUUAAAAUUUAGC
rnacentral:lncRNA from 1 species